AUGACUAGAAUGGAGUUGGAAAGGUCUGCUCAUUUCAAUAUGUGAUUUAUGUUUCAUGCCAGGGUCAGGAGAUUUUGGAACUGACACAGACAGAGGGGGAACUACUUGCUGCAAUUGUAACUGUCCAGGUUCGUAGCUCAAAAAAGAGAAUCUAUCUGAAGAAAAGUUCAUGGAAUGAGGUUGACGCUGAAGCCUCAUGGAGUAACACUAGUACAAAGCCAGUGAUUUUAUAAAAGGCAAGGUUUAAAAGUAACCUUGAGAUCAGUAAGCAAAUACCAGGAAGACAUUUCCUAAAAGUAGAUGUGUAGGAAGCAGAGAUAAGUCCUAAUCCUGGAAGAGGAAACAAACAGAUUUAAACUGCAAAUAAAG
rnacentral:lncRNA from 1 species